AAUGAACGCUGGCGGCAGGCCUAACACAUGCAAGUCGAACGGGUCCUUCGGGACUAGUGGCGGACGGGUGAGUAACGCGUGGAACGUGCCCCUUGGUACGGAAUAGCCCUGGGAAACUGGGAGUAAUACCGUAUGUGGUCGAGAGACGAAGAUUUAUCGCCAAGGGAUCAGCCCGCGUUGGAUUAGGUAGUUGGUGGGUAAUGGCCUACCAAGCCGACGAUCCAUAGCUGGUUUGAGAGGAUGAUCAGCCACACUGGGACUGAGACACGGCCCAGACUCCUACGGGAGGCAGCAGUGGGGAAUCUUAGACAAUGGGGGAAACCCUGAUCUAGCCAUGCCGCGUGAUCGAUGAAGGCCUUAGGGUUGUAAAGAUCUUUCAGGUGGGAAGAUAAUGACUGUACCACCAGAAGAAGCCCCGGCUAACUCCGUGCCAGCAGCCGCGGUAAU
rnacentral:rRNA from 1 species